AAUGAACGUUGGCGGCAUGGAUUAGGCAUGCAAGUCGGGGGAAUCCCAGCAAUGGGGGAACCGGCGUAAGGGGCAGUAAGGCAUGGGUACCUACCUUGGGGUUCGGGAUAGCCACCAGAGAUGGUGGGUAAUACCGGAUGACGUCGUGAGACCAAAGAUUUAUCGCCCUUAGAGGGGCCCAUGUGAUAUUAGCUAGUUGGUGGGGUAACGGCCCACCAAGGCGAAGAUGUCUAGCGGGUGUGAGAGCACGACCCGCGCCACUCGCACUGAGACACUGGCGAGACACCUACGGGUGGCUGCAGUCGAGGAUCUUCGGCAAUGAGCGCAAGCUUGACCGAGCGAUGCCGCGUGAGCGAUGAAGGCCUUCGGGUUGUAAAGCUCUUUAGUGGGGGAGAAAAGCCGCAAGGUGUGAUCUAUCCCAAAAAUAAGCACGGGCUAAGUUCGUGCCAGCAGCCGCCGCCG
rnacentral:rRNA from 1 species